UAGCAGUAUGGACGGAAGAUCCGAAUUCGGCAUGGGUUGCGUGGCGGAAGAUUACGUUUUCGUUUGGAACGGCGUUGAGAUUCGAUUUUGUGGUGGAUUUUUGUCGACGGAUGGCGGGAGGGGCGGCUCUGUAAGGCUGCGGCUCCUCCAAAGCACCGCAAAUUCCGAAACUCCAAGGAGACGGCGAGAAGAGAACUCCAUCCCAAACGUGAUCGAGGCCAAGGGGUUCUUAGCCGAAGGAGGCGGCCUCGAUGGAUCCCCAGGUCCUCGUCGCUCUUUCCCUCUUUGUCGUCGGCUGAUUGAUUAUCUCAAUUGAGGAAUAAGGUUAGGACCGGCAAAAGGAAUUCAGAUUUGGAGAUCUGCGAUGCAAGCUUGGAAAUUUUGUAGAUGAGAUGAUUAUGAUGGAUUGGCUUCGUGUUAUCGUGAGUUUCAUCCCUCAGUAGCAUGGUCGUGUUAUAUCUCGGAUUUGGGGCGUGACAAGGCCUGUCAUUAUUUGUCAUGCUUCUUCACUUUCUCUUAUCGUUGCAAGAAGUCAUCAAAUAAAUUUAUAUAUCUCUUGCCAAGGUCUUGUAUCACUUGGAUCUGUUUCAAGUUAAGUUUAAUUUUGCAGGUGAUUUUCCAUCAAGGAAAUCAAGUUAAGUUUCAUUUGGGUCUAUAUCACUUUAUUCUAGAAAAUCAAAUUUAGGCUGCUCCAUCAAUCUUAAUUUUAUAAGAAAAUGAUUCUGGCACCUUAAGGUUUCCCAUUAGUUUUGAGAACAUAUAUAGAGAAUGGAAAAUACACAAAUGUGAUCUUUCAUGUUUCACUUUGUAUGGUGUUGCUGUAGCUUUUCCUGUCUAUUUAUCGCUGAAAGAUAUUCUUCUUGGUGCUGUUUGAGCUCAAGCACCAUUAGAAUGUUAAAAAGAUGGAGGGUCUAAUGAGUGAGAAUAGAAUAAAUAAUUCAUAGAUCACACCAAUUUGAGCAAUAUCACACUUUUUUGUUGUCUAAUGCCAAAGGUGGCAAUUUAUGGCUCGACCCACAACCAACCUGAAUUUAGUGGGUUCAAGUUUGGCAUUUAGGGGUUCAGGUCAUAAAUGGGUUGACCCGACUUGACUUGUUUAUUAAUUGGUCAGGUUGAGGUUGAAAGUCCUGACUUGUUUAACACAUUUUGACCUGUUUGAUAGUUGGGUGUGGUUAACUCAGAUAUGAAAGGCUAAUUCUAAGAAACAUUGAUAUAGGAUCCUGCUUAGGGACUACUAAGAAACAUAUGAAAGGCUAUUUGUAAUAGUAGAAUAAUCUUGGUUGUAUGAUUAUGAAUUCUUGAUCAUGAUCAUUUCCAAUGUCUUGGCAAAUGCUAAUUUCUAGAUAUGGUUCGUUAGAGCUACACAAACUGUCGCAAAAUUAAAUUUGGGUAAAGAUGUUAUUGGUCUGUUGCCUGAUGUGUCAUCCUCCUGUUUGAUUACUUAACUUUUGAAUUUCAGAUCGAUUUCAUGCAGAAUGUAGUACUCAUAUUCUGCCUCUCCAUCCUAUCUUGACAUGGACCUUUUGUUGAUCAGAGUAGCUUGCAACUUAAUCAAUACCUUAGCGCAUGCAAAUAAAAUUCUAAAAAGAAAUCAGCAUGGCUUCAAUAAUGUCAAUAUAUUCAGUUCUUGGGGUUUUCUUUUUACAUAUGAGUGGGAAUUUUUUGUGUGUUCACAAUAA